rnacentral:rRNA from 1 species
AUUGAACGCUGGCGGCAUGCUUUACACAUGCAAGUCGAACGGCAGCGCGGGCUUCGGCCUGGCGGCGAGUGGCGAACGGGUGAGUAAUGCAUCGGAACGUGCCCAGUCGUGGGGGAUAGCCCGGCGAAAGCCGGAUUAAUACCGCAUACGACCUGAGGGUGCAAGCGGGGGACCGAAAUGCCUCGCGCUAUUGGAGCCGCCGAUGUCGGAUUAGCUAGUUGGUGGGGUAAAGGCUUACCAAGGCGACGAUCCGUAGCUGGUCUGAGAGGACGACCAGCCACACUGGGACUGAGACACGGCCCAGACUCCUACGGGAGGCAGCAGUGGGGAAUUUUGGACAAUGGGGGCAACCCUGAUCCAGCCAUGCCGAGGGCGGGAAGAAGGCAUGCGGGUUGUAAACCGCUUUUGUUAGGGAAGAAAUCCUCUGGGCUAAUACCCCGGGGGGAUGACGGUACAGGAAGAAUAAGCACAGGCUAACUACGUG